UACGAAGGGGGCUAGCGUUGCUCGGAAUCACUGGGCGUAAAGCGCACGUAGGCGGCUUGUUAAGUCAGGGGUGAAAUCCUGGAGCUCAACUCCAGAACUGCCUUUGAUACUGGCGAGCUUGAGUUCGGGAGAGGUGAGUGGAACUGCGAGUGUAGAGGUGAAAUUCGUAGAUAUUCGCAAGAACACCAGUGGCGAAGGCGGCUCACUGGCCCGAUACUGACGCUGAGGUGCGAAAAGCGUGGGGGAGCAAACAGGG
rnacentral:rRNA from 1 species